GAUGAACGCUGGCGGCGUGCCUAACACAUGCAAGUCGAGCGAGAAUCAGGGAAAUGAAGCUUCGGUAGAUUGGAACUGAGGACAGCGGCGGACGGGUGAGUAACGCGUGGGCAACCUGCCCCUUACUGGUGGAUAGCCGCGGGAAACUGCGAGUAAUACGCCAUAACGCAUCGAUGAGACAUCUCAAUGAUGCCAAAGAUUUAUCGGUAAGGGAUGGGCCCGCGUCCGAUUAGCUGGUUGGUGAGGUAGCGGCUCACCAAGGCGACGAUCGGUAGCCGGCCUGAGAGGGCGAUCGGCCACAUUGGAACUGAGACACGGUCCAGACUCC
rnacentral:rRNA from 1 species